rnacentral:misc_RNA from 1 species
GAUGAAGAACGUAGCGAAAUGCGAUAAGUAAUGUGAAUUGCAGAAUUCAGUGAAUCAUCGAAUCUUUGAACGCACAUUGCGCCCGCCAGUAUUCUGGCGGGCAUGCCUGUCCGAGCGUCAUUUCAACCCUCGAACCCCUCCGGGGGGUCGGCGUUGGGGAUCGGGAACCCCUAAGACGGGAUCCCGGCCCCGAAAUACAGUGGCGGUCUCGCCGCAGCCUCUCCUGCGCAGUAGUUUGCACAACUCGCACCGGGAGCGCGGCGCGUCCACGUCCGUAAAACACCCAACUUCUGAAAUGUUGACCUCGGAUCAGGUAGGAAUACCCGCUGAACUUAAGCAUAUCAAUAAGCGGAGA